GAUGAACGCUAGCGACAGGCUUAACACAUGCAAGUCGAGGGGCAGCGGGGGUAGCAAUACCCGCCGGCGACCGGCGCACGGGUGAGUAACGCGUAUGCAACUUACCUAUCAGAGGGGGAUAACCCGGCGAAAGUCGGACUAAUACCGCAUGAAGCAGGGGCCUCCGAUAGGUAGGUAAUUUAGUUCGUAAACGUAAAGUUACUUACUACGUCCGUCGUAGUAAGUAAGUAAGGUACGGACUAGU
rnacentral:rRNA from 1 species